rnacentral:lncRNA from 1 species
CUUCCCCCAUCUCUCUCUCCUCUCUCUCCUUCUCUCUCUUGAUCCGCCAUAGCCAAUCGGUUGCCCACUUGAGCAGAUGUUUUGUUGUCUUCAAUUGCCGAUGGAUGUUCUUCGUUUCCAGAUUAUCUAUUCUUCGUUGCAUAAGUGACCGUUCGAUUCAAGCAUGCCUUGCGGAAGAUCGCUCAAAAUCUUCGAAAAACAAAAAUAAGGUAGUUUUUACUCAUAAAUCUGAUACAUUCUUGUAGUAUUCGACAUCUUCUUCAGUUUAAUGGUAUGAAUUGAUGUUUAUAUUAGUAAAUUUACUGAUAUACAUUGUCUUCUUCAAACACCCAUUUGUUCUCGUAAGUUUAGAUGAAAAAAAUUAGGGAUAUGUUUCUAGAUUUUGGUUUUGGUUUUGGUUUUGGUGUUAAUUUACUGUUUUAUUAGAUGUUAAACCUGAUAAAUUUUGGAAUUUCAGUUCAAACAAGGGAAGAAAAGUAAGCCACCAUUAGUUUUAAAUUUUUGUUUUAGUCAUCUGCUUGACUUCGUCUUGUGACUUUCUCUUGUGAUUUAGAUGGACACCGGAGCUCCGGAUUUGGUGUUUUCAAAGUGGUUUGACAGGUUAAGCAAACUAGGUUUGUGGUAUUUUUUCGAUUUCGUAGGACAACUCCAUUUGUUGUUUUACUUAUUGCUUUAUCUGCUCUAUGUUUUUGUGAGAAGAAUAAUGCUCUGAAUGGAUUCUUAUUUGUUGAAAUAUUUGAUUCCUCACUGUUUCAAGGAUGGGUUUAGUUGUUGGAUGAAAUGUCAUAAACGUGUUGUAUUAGAUUACGUGAAUUUAAUCUAAUCUUGUCUAUAAAGUGGCAUGUUCUGUUUUAACUUUUGAGAUGCUUUAGAGUGAGAUAAAUGCUAACUUCAUUGCCAUUCGUCUCAUAGUGUCAGUUCAAACUAGGUUAUGACAUUUUUUCGGAGCAUACAUAUUGUAAUCCAUUCUGUUUUUUCUGCUAAGAAGUGUCGAAUAUUGUCUCCAUGCAUUUCUUUUUGUUUGAGUCUCAUUUUCUUUACAAAUGUAUGCCAAUUGUAAUGAUUUCUUAAGUAGGAUUUUAAGACACGAGUUGGUGUUUCGUUUGAUAAUGCGAAAAUAUGCAAUUACAAGGACCAAUAAUAUAAUCCCAAUUCUUUUGAAUUAACUUUGUGCACAGAAAGAGCCAGCUGAUAGAAAAAAAAUAGUGAGCAAAUGGC